GCGCCUCCAUAGGUAGGAUAGGCCGAACCACUUGGUCACGGGCGUGCAGCACGCACGCCUAUGUAUAUCCGACGCAACUGUACGAUUCGAUCUUUUCAAUUUUCCGACUGCAAAUUAGCGCCUUAUAUGGUCCGUGAAAAAAAAAAACAAAAAAAGAAAAAGAAAAAACGAAGCAUCGCGAAAGGUGUGUACGCGGGAACGACACGACCGGAAACAUCGACCACUCGUCAAGAUGGAAAGUUCUCUCAGCCAUGUUUGUCAGCCAUUGAGAGCCGUGGACGUAUCGUGGAUGAGGAUUAGGGUAGCAAACGAUUAUCGAGGGAAAAUUACGGCGAAAAAAACAUAAGGGAAACAACAAAAACAUUUCCACCACACACGAAGACGCGAAACGAUCUUGGUCGAUACACACGAAGAUAUGUGCUCUGUAUUACCGACGAGCCUCACAGCGGCGAUAGCGGUAAGCGUGGAGGCACAUAAGAGGGAGGGGUAAACGAGCCGAGCCACGAUUUCGUCGUCGUAAACGUCAACGUUACGGUUACAGCGUUGUUCCUAGCUGGUUUAUAUUGAACGAGGUUGCUCCCCGAGUUAUUGAAUGGAAGACGCCGAGUUGAUUCAGGAAUACGCGAGCAAAACGACGCAGCCGGGUGAGGGGAGAUUUUUUUUCCUCCGGGCCGAUGGAGC